GAGGCUGGCUUUGAACUUGCCGUCCUCCUGCCUCCGCCUCCUGAACCUCUGGGAUUACAGGUGUGCGCCACCGCGCCAGCUUGUCAAAGGUUCUUGACAUAAAACUAGCAAAAACCCAGAACUGGAGCCCCCUCCGCAGUGUCGACUCAGUGUGACCCUCCAUUCCAGGCCUGGCCUCUGCUCCCACCCUUCUCUGUUCAGUUGACAGCCUGCCUCUUCCAGGAAGCCAAGUCACUCAUGCCCACAUAGCACCUGUCACAGGCCAGGCCACAGUGCUCUUGUGUAGAUGAGCUUACGCGAGCGAUCUUCAUAACAACCCCAUGAGAUGCAGCAGGAAAACUGAGUCACAGUGCAAAGCCACAGUCAGGAUUGAAACCAUCUAACUAACCCAAGACUUGGCUCUGAACUGCUGUGCCCCAUGGCCUCCUGCUCACCAGGCAGCUGGGAGUGUUUAGCCAGCACAUGUGUGGAGUGUUGGGCACGGUGCCACAGGACACACCACCGCCUGAGAGAAAAGGGAGGCCGUCCUAAGCUCGGUGAGGCUACAGCGUAGACAUCGACCAGCAACCAACAGCAAUGAGAUUUCUACAGGCCUGGGUUUGUCCCAUCUCCAGGAAACUUUAUAUGUUGUCUAAACUGAGCAUCCCAGCAGGCUGCAAGGCAGACGGCAACUCAAGAUUCAGAAUGAUGACCAAUUCCUACCUGGAUCCACACCAUGCUGAAACUCAGCCUGCCUGUGCAGAAAUAAGAGCCUGGCCACAUGACUAACAGCUUUUUUAACUGCCACUCUCAGCAAUGAGGAAGUUCCCCAGCAGACAAGAUACUCUUGAGAUGGCUUUCUUCAAGGGAACUGAAAAGAAAAUGACAUCAGGAUCUAACAGGAUCCCAGGUUCAACCAGAUACUCAAAAUAAGCAAAUGCCCACAGCUCAACUAAGCCAAGAGGGGUUGCUAACCUACCCUUGAGUCAUUAGGGCUGCAAGUCUCUAGCCCAGCACAUCAUGCAGAGGUCUGCCUCCAUGUCACUAGGUUCACAUAAGAGGCUUCACACUUCAGUAAGGAGGCAGGUACAAGCUUGAGGUAGCACCUGAACUACAUCAUUCAGAUACAU